CCUACGGGGGGCAGCAGUCGAGAAUCAUUCACAAUGGGGGAAACCCUGAUGGUGCGACGCCGCGUGGGGGAAUGAAGGUCUUCGGAUUGUAAACCCCUGUCAUGUGGGAGCAAAUUAAAAAGAUAGUACCACAAGAGGAAGAGACGGCUAACUCUGUGCCAGCAGCCGCGGUAAUACAGAGGUCUCAAGCGUUGUUCGGAAUCACUGGGCGUAAGGCGUGCGUAGGCUGUUUCGUAAGUCGUGUGUGAAAGGCGCGGGCUCAACCGGCGGACGGCACAUGAUACUGGGAGACUAGAGUAAUGGAGGGGGAACCGGAAUUCUCGGUGUAGCAGUGAAAUGCGUAGAUAUCGAGAGGAACACUCGUGGCGAAGGCGGGUUCCUGGACAUUAACUGACGCUGAGGCACGAAGGCCAGGGGAGCGAAAGGGAUUAGAUACCCCUGUAGUC
rnacentral:rRNA from 1 species